rnacentral:tRNA from 1 species
GGGCUGGGGCUCAGUGGUAGAGCACUUGCCUAGCAUGUGAGCAACUGGGUUCGAUCCUCAGCACCACA